UACGUAGGGGGCAAGCGUUGGUCCGGAAUCAUUGGGCGUAAGCGCGUGUAGGCGGCCCGGUAAGUCCGCUGUGAAAGUCGGGGGCUCAACCCUCGAAUGCCGGUGGAUACUGUCGGGCUAGAGUGCGGAAGAGGCGAGUGGAAUUCCUGGUGUAGCGGUGAAAUGCGCAGAUAUCAGGAGGAACACCAAUUGCGAAGGCAGCUCGCUGGGACGUUACUGACGCUGAGACGCGAAAGCGUGGGGAGCAAACAGG
rnacentral:rRNA from 1 species